ACGCUCGACACCUACGGGAUGCAGCAGUUGGGAAUAUUGGACAAUGGAGGAAACUCUGAUCCAGUGACGCCGCGUGAAGGAAGAAGGUCUUCGGAUUGUAAACUUAUUUUGUCAGGGAAGAAAAAAUGACUGUACCUGAAGAAAAAGCACCGGCUAACUACGUGCCAGCAGCCGGGUAAUCUGAGCGGGCUGGCAAGGC
rnacentral:rRNA from 1 species